rnacentral:rRNA from 1 species
CUUAACACAUGCAAGUCGAACGGGAAGGUUCCUUCGGGAACCGGCGAGUGGCGCACGGGUGAGUAACGCGUGGGGAUCUGCCUCGAAGUGGGGAAUAACCGCUGGAAACGGCGGCUAAUACCGCAUACGCCCUCGGGGAGGAAAGCUUUAUGCGCUUCGAGAUGAACCCGCGUCGGAUUAGCUAGUUGGUGAGGUAAAGGCUCACCAAGGCGACGAUCCGUAGCUGGUCUGAGAGGAUGAUCAGCCACACUGGGACUGAGAUACGGCCCAGACUCC